UCCUGGCUGGCUCAGUGGUGGAGCAUAUGACUCUUGAUCUCAGGGUUGUGAGUUCAAGCCCCACGUUGGGUG
rnacentral:tRNA from 1 species